UACGUAGGGGGCAAGCGUUGUCCGGAUUUAUUGGGCGGAAAGAGCGUGUAGGCGGCCACACAGGUCUGCUGUGAAAACUCGAGGCUCAACCUCGAGACGUCGGUGGAAACCGUUUGGCUAGAGUCCGGAAGAGGAGAGUGGAAUUCCUGGUGUAGCGGUGAAAUGCGCAGAUAUCAGGAAGAACACCCGUGGCGAAGGCGGCUCUCUGGGACGGUACUGACGCUGAGACGCGAAAGCGUGGGGAGCGAACAGG
rnacentral:rRNA from 1 species